GGUGGCUUAAGUGGUCAGAUCGUCCGCCUCGGAUGCGGGAGGUCGCGGUUACGAACCCCGGCUUAGCCA